rnacentral:rRNA from 1 species
AGCAUUUAUACAGUGAAACUGCGAAUGGCUCAUUAAAUCAGUUAUCGUUUAUUUCGAUAGUACCUUACUACUUGGAUAACCGUGGUAAUUCUAGAGCUAAUACAUAGCUUAAAAUCCCGACUGUUUGGAAGGGAUGUAUUUAUUAGAUAAAAAAUCAAUGUCUUCGGACUCUUUGAUGAUUCAUAAUAACUUUUCGAAUCGCAUGGCCUUGUGCUGGCGAUGGUUCAUUCAAAUUUCUGCCCUAUCAACUUUCGAUGGUAGGAUAGUGGCCUACCAUGGUUUCAACGGGUAACGGGGAAUAAGGGUUCGAUUCCGGAGAGGGAGCCUGAGAAACGGCUACCACAUCCAAGGAAGGCAGCAGGCGCGCAAAUUACCCAAUCCCGACACGGGGAGGUAGUGACAAUAAAUAACGAUACAGGGCCCUUUCGGGUCUUGUAAUUGGAAUGAGUACAAUGUAAAUACCUUAACGAGGAACAAUUGGAGGGCAAGUCUGGUGCCAGCAGCCGCGGUAAUUCCAGCUCCAAAAGCGUAUAUUAAAGUUGUUGCAGUUAAAAAGCUCGUAGUUGAACCUUGGGCUUGGUUGGCCGGUCCAUCUUUUUGAUGCGUACUGGACCCAACCGAGCCUUUCCUUCUGGCUAGCCUUUUGGCGAACCAGGACUUUUACUUUGAAAAAAUUAGAGUGUUCAAAGCAGGCCUUUGCUCGAAUAUAUUAGCAUGGAAUAAUAGAAUAGGACGUUAUGGUUCUAUUUUGUUGGUUUCUAGGACCAUCGUAAUGAUUAAUAGGGACGGUCGGGGGUAUCAGUAUUCAGUUGUCAGAGGUGAAAUUCUUGGAUUUACUGAAGACUAACUACUGCGAAAGCAUUUACCAAGGACGUUUUCAUUAAUCAAGAACGAAAGUUAGGGGAUCGAAGAUGAUCAGAUACCGUCGUAGUCUUAACCAUAAACUAUGCCGACUAGGGAUCGGUUGUUGUUCUUUUAUUAACUCCAUUCUGGAACCGAGAAGC